rnacentral:lncRNA from 1 species
CCACCUUCAACCUCAGCAACCCAAAACCCGACCCGCAUCGUCUUCUCUUCUUCUAGCGCAUGAACGGCAAAUACAUAGCAUUAUUAGACGAUCUCGCUACGUGACAAAAGCAAUGGGUAUAGCGUGAAGAGAGAGUUCACGGUGAUACACACAAGUUACACGAUAAAUCGAGCAACUGUUUUUGCAUUUUUAUCUUCCAUUAGCUUUAUCCAUACAACAGAGCGGUUCCAAACCUUCAACCUCGUCCUUGACUUGUGUGAAUGAAGGCCACGUCAACCACAAGGACGAUUGGGUUGAAUCCAGGCGGUCCGUUCCCUGCAUCCUCACAAUUUUGAGGGAUUUUUGGGUGGAAUUCUCGUCAAAAGAUAGUUGUUCUUUGGCCCUUGAAAAUUUGAAUUGAUACUUUUAUUUUGGGGAUUCCAAGUUUUCCCUUUUUCCCCCAAAAUCUCAAACCUAAUUUCCCAUCUAUAUAUUCUUUUUCAUUCACUAUAAGAAGGGAGGAGAAAUUUUUGGAAAAAAAAGGGAGAAGGGGAAGAAAGAUUUUUAAUCGGAAGUUUUUUUAUCAUAGAGAGUUUGAGGAAAUUUCUGGAGAAGAUCGAUAUAGAGAUAUAGUGAGGCGUCCUAGGCAAAACUUAGUUGCCGACGAAGUAUUAUGCUUUUUUUUUGCGUGCGAGUUCCUGUUAGGGUGGUGGAAGCCGGUCCCUGUCUAGCUCGUUGUUAUCCCACUCGUUGCGCCAAAGAAGGUAAUGCCUCCUUCUUCAUAAUAUUUUGCAUAUACUAUGUUUCUGAUGUUGCCUUCGAGUGUUUUGGAGGCCUGUGUCGCAGCUGUUUGUCAUUGUAAUCUUUGGUAUUUUGAUGUGUGUAUGAGUGCUUGAAAGACUUUUCGUUUGCUCGUAAUGUUAGUUCCAAAUAUUUGAGUUGAUUCUUUAACUUCUAUGUCUUCAGAGCCAAUGACUAAAGAUUUCACGUAAGUUUGAGUUUAACAUAAAUGGUGAUUUCAAAUGGUUAAGGUUGAGUGCUCUUCUGUUAAUUCUUGAUGCUAUAAGGUUAAGUUGUUUGUCUCCCCGCUGCCGUUAUAUCUGAACCCUUUACCGAGUUUCCAUCGGCAUGCUUUGCUCAAUUUUUAGUAUAUUUUUUCUAUCAUUCAGCUUGGGUCUCUAUUUGUUAUUGGGUUUUUAAGUAUGUUUAAAGUUAAAAUUCACUGAUGCAGCAGUAGACCGCCGCCUUGUGGCACCAUUUUUAUUUAUUCUUAGAGCGAAAUGUUUUUCUCCCUUUUGUUAGAUUUUCAAAAAAAUGCUUUUCCCUAUUUAAGUUUGAAGUUCUGAAGCCAUUUAUAUUUUCUGCCAGCGGCCACUGUUUAAUGAGUUUUUGGCGAAUUCAUGUCUAGUUUAUAUGCGAUUUAUCCUAGUUGGAGCGACGGGUUUUUAGAGUCUUUAUUUACAUUUUAGUAUAUUUAUCUGGGAUCAUGUUCAUUUAGUUGGGUUCAGCUCUAAUGUAGUAGCUUGAUUCAAAUUCCUUUCUUUUGGCUGAAAUCAUGCUAAGAAUAAAUGUUAUAAAAAUAGUCGAGUCUCUUUAAAGCGUGAGGCUUUGUUCCUUUUCGUUUACGCAUCUACUCUUUCUCUUAUUCUUUUUCCUUAAAUCGUUUCUUUCUCGCCUUGAGCCUGACCUAUUGGAUGAAGUUAAAAUUGGUUUCAACAUAAAUAUUAGCUAGUUCCUACUUCCAGGUUUGUUUUAUGUUUUGUUCCUUAGUCUUAGUCCAUGAUAGAUUUGUGAGUAUCGAUUUUGUGGUCAUCUUGGUUUGUCGCUGUUUGGUUCGCAUUAGUGUUUUGGAGAACUAAUUGUAAUGAAGUUCUUUUUUUUUCUCAAAGUUGGCAUUAGUCCUUCGACUGAUCAUAAAGUAUAAAUUUACUUACCUCUAUCUAGUCACUUUAUAUGUGGUUUCGUUUGCUUCUCUAUUCUUUUUUUAAAAAAUCUUGCUUUUACUAAAAUUCGACUCAUAAGAUCGUUCAGGAUAUUAUCUCUUUGGUGGACAAUAUCUCAUUAUAUGAUCUGUUAAACUCUUAAUUUCAGGUAGAAUUGUCUAAGGCUCUACUUCUGUCCACUUUCUUAACUGUAUGUUUAGUAUAUGUCAAUAUGAUAGAAUGCCAUAAAAGGAAGGGGGGGUUGAUUGAGGUCAAAAGAUGGAAUUAGCUUAUAAUUUGUGCGUCAUUUACAUCUGUAGUUUCUAGUUUAUGCUCGAGCUUUGACCUCUUUGUUCGAAUGAUACAUGUGACACAAUUUUACUCUUUCAAAAAAGUUAGUAACACUCGUUUGUUCAUUUUAUUCUUUUUUAUUUGUUUAGGUGGUUACUGCUUUUAAUUUAUCCUCUUGUUCGUUUGCCUAAAAUUCUGUUAGAGCUAUUUUUUUAAUCUCUAGUUGGUUUAGAGUUGCAGCUGCAAUGGGGUCUCUUGUGACACCUUUGAGAAGUUAAUUUGUCUUAUAUUUUGGGUUGUUACUGCUAAUUCCACUAAUAACAGUAGUAAUAUAAUAUACAUAUAAAUGAAUAAAUAAAAUGAUAAUAAUAAAUAAUAUUAAGUUUUUGUAUUUAUUUCCCCUUGCCAUUUGAAGCAUUACCUGUUUUCUUAUAUUUUUUCUUACUUUUGUUAUGCAUGUGAUGCCUUACCAUAUUUUUGUUACUGUCUUUCGUGGAUUACAGGAUAAAAUGCAAAUGUUUAGUUUUUUGAAAUUAGUUAGUUAAAAAAAAUUGCACCCCUUUGUUCAUUCAUUGUUAAGUUACAGAUUUAAAGAGUCUUAGUUAAAUGUGUUUAGAUGAUGAUUUCCCUUCUUAGUCUUUUUGCCUUUAUAUGCCUCGUUUAUCAUGUUUUUAUGUUUAGCUAAUAAGUUCUUUUUUUACGAGUAAUAUAUCCUAGUCGUGAUUGUUGUCUGUAAUCAUCAUUUACUUGGGAUAUAACUCUUUACAUUUUGUGUUUAUAAGUGUGUCAGUAUUAUACCCAUACUUAUAUCUUAGAAUGAUCCACAUAUCUACCUCCAUUUCCUUUAGUUAUUUGUUUAUUCAUGUGUUCAUUGGAUACUUAUCUCUUUCGCAACUUCAUUCCUUUUUUUGCAUGUGAAUCCGUUCAAGUUUGCCAAAAACUCACUUAUCCCUUGCAUUUUGAGAGAGUUGUAAAGACUUGCUUUUCCUUCCCUCGAAUCAAUAAGUUCUAAAAAUCGAUGAAUAGAUUGUGGUUUGAAAAUUCCAAGAAGUCUGAGAUUUGAAUAGUUUGGGCCAAAAAGACCUCUUUUUAUUUUUUUAAAAAUUGUAUUUUACUAUCUUUGGGCCUAAGCCCUUUUGUAUUAUUGUUACCUUGAAUAGUUUUGGACAGGUACAAAUUGAGUGGGCCUAAGACCACAAACAAAGGGUCAAAAUGCCGGUCCAGGCAAACAGAAAUCGGAUCAUAAGUAAUGCGGAAUUAAAGGAGAAGAAAGCUUACAGAGAAAAAUACUUUUAUUCAAACUUCAAGCAAACUUCAUUAUACAUAAGAGAGAAAGAGAUAUUCAGAAUACAGUGUGAAUUUUCUGAUGAUCUCUAAUGGGAAUUUAAUCCUCUUUUAUAGAGGGAAAAUAAAUGUCUUUUAUCUGAAGGCUUACAAGUGGAUGGCUGAGAUAUUGCCGACACUGGGGGGGCUAUCAAAAGAUAAUGGGAAUCUUCUCUUUUGAUAAUGCAUCUUCUUUUGAUAAAGGCAAUAGUGCUUUCCAAAAGAGCUUUGUCCUUUAGCCUCUCAGUGGAUGCCAGUUUAGAGAAUAAUGAAAGUUGCUAACACAAAAGAUAAUUCCGGCUUUGCCUCUAUCUUUUGCGAAAGGUCAUUUCCUAUUCAUUAAAGAAUAAUGAAAGUUGCUAACGCAAAAGAUAAUUCCGGCUUUGCCUCUAUCUUUUGCGAAAGUUCAUUUCCUAUUCAUAAUCUGGGUCCAUGUAGGCCAAGGCUAAACCUUUGGGAUUGCACAUGUCACCAUUAUCGUCAUCUUCUCCUUCAGAAGAAGCAGCAUCCUUGAGUAGUUUGAAGAUCUGUUCUUCAGAAUGAUCUUCGAUGUUGUCCAUAGCUUCCUUCAAUUUUUGUUUGAGGGCUGCUUUGGAUAAUUUCUUUUGAGAAGUCUGGACCUUCUCAGUGUUCUGUACUGCUGAAUUUCCUUGCUGUUUAGGAACCCAACCUUUUACCUGUAUUUGUUUGCACAAAUAAUUGAUGCGAUCUAUUUCGCUUUUGACGAAGUUCCAGGUGAUGAUAUAAGAGAUUAUUUUCUUAAUGUAAUAUUUGCAUAUUUUUAUAUGCUCUGGUAAUGUUGUUAUCUCCUCCUGGGUUUGAAAUUCUGCAUACCUAGCGGAGAAUCUUUGGGGUAGAAUUUCCUUGGUGCCUCCAAAUAAAUUCCACCAUUCAUAAAACCAUCGUGGGAUGAUGGCCUUUGUUAGUGGUGUGUUGUAUUUAAUAAACCAAGUGUGCCUUGGUCUGACAUAGAGGAAGUUCAUCCAUUCAACCUUAUAAUCAUACCAGUUAUAAGUCUGUGGGCGGUGUGUCAUUGUCAAAGCAAUUGGAGUGUGAAAAUGAUCUGCAAACCAUUCUGUUGGUUCUAGUAUUCUCUUGAUUGUAAUCCUGGAAUACAUGAUUUGAUUAUCUGCAUCUUUGCAAUGCUCGAUGUCGACGGAUUCUGUAUCCACUAGUAUGGCUUCAAAGUAUCUCCUGGUUUUUAGUGGAUUAUCUGUAUCCACAUAAUUAAAAUCAGUGUAACAAGGUUUUAUUAAUAAAUCAACAUCCAUGUUAGAUACUUCUUUACUGAGUGCCAUCAAAGGUAGUAUUUAUGACACCUGAAAGUCAAAAAAUUCUUCUUUUUGAUUUAGUUUUGAGGAAAUUGUUUUAGUCAAUUCUGGAUUGACUGCUUGGGCAAAAGUCUCAGGGGCUUUCAUCGUGUAAGCUGUUUUUGUUUGGCGGGAGGAUGAAGCUUCAAGAGCAACAGUUGGUCUCAAAUUUAGACUUUGAGGUAGAGGGGGGUAGUUUGGCCUCUGGGGCUUUUGUUGAGAAGAGUUUGGUAAAUUUGGAUAAUCUACUAGGACUGUGAAAAAGUUUUUGGAAUUUAAAGCAGGUCUUGUGGAUGAAGAUUCUGCUUUGGAUGGUGUAAGUGGAAGGAGCUUGAAUGGUCUAGCCAUUUUUUGUUUUGGAAGAUCCUUGUCUCCCUUAGCUGCUGGCUUAAAUGGCCUCAUGUUUUCCCUGCAAAAAUUCACGGUUUAAAAAAUCUGGCAAGGACUUGUUUUCUCCUUUGAUGAAAUCAAUAUCAAAAUCAAAGCUAGAUAGUAGAGCUUGCCACCUAGCAAAGAUUUGUUUUGAAACAAUGUUUUUAACAUCUUUUUGAAGAAUUUCUUUAGCAGACUUGCAAUCUACUCUUAGCAAAAACUUUUUGUUGAUAAGAUCAUCCUGAAAUUUUGUUAUACAAAGAACAAUAGACAAGACUUCUUUUUUAACAGUAGAAUAAUUCUUUUGAGAAGAAUUUCAGAUUCCCGAAGUAAAUCGGACCAACUGUUCUGUAGAUUCAGGAUCUACCAUUUGUUUUAGAAUACCUCCAUAACCAAGGUCAGAGGCAUCAGUUUCAACAAUCAUGGAAGCAUGAGGAUUGGGGAUCCCUAAACAAGGAAUUGUUUGAACUAACUCUUUAACUCGAAUAACCGCUUGGGUUUGUUCAGAACUCCAUGGAACAGGGACUUUCUUAAGUCUCUUGUAUAGAGGCUCGCAGAUGUGUUUGAUUUUUGGAAUAAAAUCGGCAACAUAAUUCAAACUUCCUAGAAAUCUCUGGAGCUGGGUUUUUUCAAUAAUUUCAUUGGGAAAUUUAGAAGAGAACUCUAGGGCUCUGCAGAUGGGUUUAAAAGUUCCUUGAAAAAGAUCAUGGCCCAAGAACCUAAUCUUUGUUUGAAACAAAAUCAUUUUCUUAGCACUAACUACUAAGCCAUUGUUUUUGACUAUAUUGAAGAAUGUGUUGAGGUAUUUAAAAUGAGAAUCAAUGUUUUUAGAAAAUAUUAACACAUCAUCAAUAUAAAUAAUUGACAUGUAAGAAUAAUCAUUGAAAAUGGAAUUCAUGAUGUUUUGAAAUUCAGAAGGGGCGUUUUUGAGCCCAAAAGGCAUUACAUUCCAUUCAAAUUGGCCAAAUGGAACAUUAAAAGCAGUUUUGUACUUAUCUUUUUCAGAAAUCUGUACUUGCCAAAAUCCCGAUUUCAUAUCAAAUUUGCUAAAAAAUUUUGCAUUAAAAAUCCUUUUCAAAAGGUCUCUUUUGUUAGGUAUAGGAUACCUAAUCCAUUUUAAAACGGAGUUGAGAGGCUUGUAAUUAAUUACAAGUCUAGGAGCACCUCUUUCUUUCUCAGAGUUUUUAUUAACGUAGAAGGCAGAGCAACUCCAAGGGGAUUUUGAAACUCUGAUGAUGCCAUUUUUUAAAAGAGUAUUAAUCUCUUCUUUGCAAUAUUCCAUCAUUUCAUGAUUCAUCUGAAUGGGUCUUGCUUUAGUGGUAAUAGCCCUUUCAAUGAAUCCUUCAAUGCAAGGUAAGGAAACAAUAUGCUUUUUUCUAUUCCAAAAAGCAUUAGGAAAAUCGGAACAAAUUUCCUUUUCAAAUUUCUCUUGAAGAUUUGCUAUUUGGUUAACAAUCUCCGGGGUUUUUAGAAUUUGCUCAAUUUUCUUAAUACGGAUUUCAUCCUUUAAAAAGGUGAGAUGUUGAGAAAGUUUGUUUAUUUUGAAAACAGUUUUUUCUCUGACAAAAUCACUUUCUUCUUGAGAAAGAGUUUUUACAAAAGGGAAAAGGAGAUCUUUUCCUAAUAUAUUAGUGGAGAUGCCAUCCAGUGAAGUAAAAUAAGGUUUUAUUAGGGUAAUAAAUGGUAUUCCUAGGAUGAUAUCUUCAUUAAUAUCUUCAGUAAUAACGAAAUCAUUUGUUAAACAAAUGUCAUUGUUGCAAAUAUGGGCUUUAGAAAGCUUAUAGUUUAUUUUCAAAAGUUCUCCUGUAGCGGAGUAUAAUUUUGAAGUACUUUUUUGUAAAUACUGAAGAGGAACAAUACCUUUCAUGAUGCAGUUUCUAUCAGUACCGCUAUCAAGCAAAGCAACUUUGUUAAUAACAAAAUUUUUGUUAAUCACUAUUUUGAUAGGGAUAUGAUGGCUCUGAGGUCUGAUAGAGGAAAUUACUGUUAAACCUGGUGUUGCAGAAGUGGAAGCAUUGUUAUUGGUUUGUGUAAAAACUUCUAGUUCAACCAGAUGGUUAUUUUUGAUGUCAGUAUUGUUGAUGUCAGGUUGAUUGAUAUCAUCCUCAUUAUUCGAAUUGUUUUUUGAGGAGCUGUGCCUAGAUUCAUAAUCUAAGAAAGCUGGUUUUUUAGAAAUCUGACGGAUAGGAGUGUCAGUUUCUAUCAUGGAAAGACGGGAUUUGAUUUCUCGAAUUUCUUUUUUGAGAAGAGAAACUUCAUGACAAAGAUCCGCAAUGGUUGGUUCAGAAUGAUUUUCUGAACGAUUCAUGAUUUGUUUCAUGCUGAAAGGUUCAACAAUAGGACGAGACUUUGGUUUGUCUGUAUUGAGGAUCAAAUUUUUGAGUUUUAGGAGGAAACGAUUCCUAGCCUCAUCAUCAUUGAUAUGUUGUAUGACAUCAAAAAGGGCUUCUUUUGAGUUAUCAGAAAGAACCCUAAUCUGAGGUUCUUUUCUGCAAGUGCAACCUUUUUCUGAUUGACUAGAAUCUGAAUCAUAGUCCAGGUUGAUGUCCUCAUCUGAGCUGUUUUCUUCAGGUUCAUCUGAAAUGUCAGAAAAUGGUUCAUCAAGGAUAGCGAGAAGUUUACCUUUCGUCUCCUUAUCCAUGUCAAGAAGAUUGACUUUCUUUUUCUUUGUUUUUGAAUGGCAUUUGUUUGCUCUAUGGCCUCUUUUUCCACAGUUCCAACAGACGUCUUGUUUCUUUUGGGUUGAUCUCUUGGAUCUAGUUUUCUUUCUUUCGGAUUUGGAAGAUUUAGAGGAAUCAUCCUUCCUUGUUGAUUUUCUUCUGUAGGAUUUUUCUCUUUCUUCCUUCUUCUUAGUAUCCGGUGGAGUAAUAAAUCCAAAAUCUUUACAAAAGCUUCCAAGUUCUUUCCUUGAAGAAGAUUGUUCCUUCUUAAGCUGGUGUCUUAGCUUGAUGUCUGUGCAUAGCUCUAGGGCUACGAUGUUAAUGGUGCUUACCAGGUCACCAUAGGUAAGAUUAUUAUAAGGAAUACUACCAUUAUUCCUGUCUUGUAUUUUGGUUCUUACCUUAUCUGCAAAAAGAGGAGGUAAGCCACUGAUGAAACGUUCCUUCCAGUAAUCCGAAUUGCAAUCUGGACGGAUCAUGACUUUGCUCAAAAAAGCAUGUCUGUAGUGGAUGAAGUUGUCUAAGUUUGGGCAGCUUAGAUUACUCAGAAUUUGGAGACUUCUGUCCUGAAAUAAAUUAGGUUCUCCAAUAAAAUGUUUAGCAAUAUGGUAAAGCAAAGUGGCACAAGUGUCUUCCCUUGUUUGAGUAGAAGUUGUUUGUGUGUUACCUUCAAUCUUUACAACAGUUUCAUUUGCUGUUGCGGUGAUAAUGAGAUGCUUGACUUCGUCAGUGCAGUAAUUGUCCCACCAAUGUUUUAACAUUCUAGUGAAACCUACAAUAAUCAUAUUUGCAGCAUCUGUGUCUGAGGACCCUCGCAUUUUGUACGCGGUGAUGGCUACUCCCAUUUCAUGGAGUUUAUUGUAAACUUGAUGUUCUACAAGGCCAUCAAUAUUCCAUUCAGUGGUGCUCCUUCCUUCAUGAGAUGAAGUGGAUAAGAAAGCAUUUUCUUCAUACUGCAAAUCUGGAAAAGAUGGUUUGCUGUGGUAGUUUUUCAUGUUAUGAAAAUGACUAUUUCCAUGUUUUUGGAGAAGAUUGGUUUUUUCUGAAGAUGGGUUUGGAUUGGUUUGGAUUGUGGAAACACUUUCUUUAUCUUUCUUUUUAGAUAUGUUAAAGUUAUUGAGUUGAGUGUUGAUUUUUUUGAUGAUACUUCCUGUAACUUCAAAUGUAUCAGAAAGUUUUGGGAAUUUUUCUUUGGAAAAUUCAGGUAUUUUAAAUCCUGGGUAGGUUUCAAUUUCAUGAUUGGAUGAAGUAGAAGUCGGUGUUGGUCUUCCACUAAGAUAUGGUCUUGUGUCUUCUAUUUGUCUAGAGACCACAUGGAGGAGUUGGUUUGUAUAGUUGUUUUGUUCAAUAACUCUAUCAAUAUCUGCAGCAACGAGUAAUGCGCCUGUCUUAUAACUCUUCUCUUUGAAGGGAGAGGCUUUUAUCACUGUACAUGCAAUAGGAAUAUUGAUUCCUUCAAGAGGAGGAGUGGUAGAUUCUACUACUUUGUUAGAAGAUGUAUACCAUUUAUUAAUGAUAACUUGUAAAGACUCGGUACAAAUUUCAAUUAUACCAGUCAUUUCAAACCACUUGAAGAAUUCGAUUUCACAACCUAUUCUUCUCAUAUCUUUCAUCCAAAUUUCCCUGAAAUUUUCUCUUUGCUUAAGAGUAUAAGAGGAAACAUACCAUUUUAUUCUGACUUGAUUGUCAGGGUGAAUCCAUUGUUCUUGUAGAAUAGUUGGAUUAGGUUCAAAGGGUUUGUUUACCUUUAACAUUCCCAACCAAGCAGGCUUAUCAGUAGGCGGUUCCAUCUCGCUUGCUGUAGGACUCCCUGAAAUGUCUUGGUAAUAAACUUUAGGUACAUUACCUCUGAAAUCAACCCCUGUUACCUUACCUUUACUAUUGUCUAUAUCACUGUUUGCAAUAGUAAUGUUGUCUUCCUCGUCCUCGAAAGUUUUAGAAGAAGAUGGUUGGUGAGUCGUCUUAGAAGGGCACGAAGAGGAGGGUGACCAAGACGGUCGAGCAGAUGAAGAUCUCAUUGAUGGAUUCUCAAGAAAUUUUAGAUCAAUAGAUCCAUCGAGAAACUGAAUAACCUUUUCUAUUUGGGAUCGUGGGGGAUGAGAAGUAAAAGGUUGUGUAAUGUUCUCAAAAUGCCAUUCGUUAUUUGAGAGAAUAUCCUUCCAUUGUAAGGUUCUAGGAACAAAAAUGGAACUAUGUGAGUGGUUAGCUUCCAUGAGCAUGGUUUCUCAUCUGACGCUUUCAAGACACGCUUUUGGAGCAAGUUGAGUUUUCAUAAGUCUAUAAUAGACCCUAUAGACUACAGCAAUUUCUCUAGAAUCAGUUUUGCUAUUAAGAUUUUUGGUUUUGACAUUGAGAGUCAAAGUGUCUGUGACAUUAGGAUCAUUAAUGUCAACCGAGAAAUUAGGAUAACAGUUGAAGUAAACUGGUCCAUCAGUGAGAUUACUUUGAAGUAAUCCAAGAAGGGAAUCGUCAAAAUUAAGAAAUCUGUCAUCUCUAAGGAGAACGCAGACAGGAAUAUCAAGACCUCUUCUGAACAGAGGUUUUACAGCAACUUGAACUAAACCAAUAUGUAAAUAGUUGAAGCUAGAUUUGUACCUAUCUAGAUCUUUGUCUUUGAGAAGACGAACAAUUUCAGAAGAAUUGUUAAUGGCAAUAGUAGAUUCACAAGUUUUAAUAUUGCAACGAGUGAGGAAACUGAAAUUACCUAAUUGAUAAAUCUUUUUGAAAGGUUCUUCUGGAAUACUCCAGUUUUGUAAAUCAUUUUCAAUUUUAGCAAUCUUUGUUGAUUGCGAAGAUAUAUUAAUUUUAUUUAAAAUAUUUUGAUUUUUAUCCAUAAAUGAAGAAGAACUGUCUAAAGGACUUACAAGACAAAAUUUAAGAUAUCAAGUAAACAUAAGUCAAAUAUGUUGGAGUUUAAGUAAUAUUAAUAAAAUAUAAUUCAAAAUCUUUUAUAAAUUAUUCUAUGAUAGGUGCUCAUGGUCUGACAAUCAAGUUCAUUCUGAUAGAGUCAUCUUAGUUACGGGACCACCAAUAGUACUAACUCUUUGACGCCCUCCUGGCUAUAGCGAGUGUUCCAAGUUCAUGAUGACCAACGCAUGCUCUGGAUAUUAAUCGGAUACCUCAUACUCAUAUCAGAAGAACGAUACGCCUCACACCAAGUAUAGAAUUAAUAUAAAAUAAUAAGUAUAAAAUAUUAAGCAAAUACUUAAAACAUAACAUAUAGAAUUAUAAAUUACUUCAUAAAUAAAUUACUUCAUAAAUCAACAAGGAAGGAUGAUUCCUCUAAAUCUUCCAAAUCCGAAAGAAAGAAAACUAGAUCCAAGAGAUCAACCCAAAAGAAACAAGACGUCUGUUGGAACUGUGGAAAAAGAGGCCAUAGAGCAAACGAAUGUCGUUCAAAAACAAAGAAAAAGAAAGUCAAUCUUCUUGACAUGGAUAAGGAGACGAAAGGUAAACUUCUCGCUAUCCUUGAUGAACCAUUUUCUGACAUUUCAGAUGAAUCUGAAGAAAACAGCUCAGAUGAGGACAACUAUGAUUCAGAUUCUAGUCAAUCAGAAAAAGGUUGCACUUGCACGGAAGCAUUCUGCACUUGCUGAAAAGAACCUCAGAUUAGGGUUCUUUCUGAUAACUCAAAAGAAGCCCUUUUUGAUGUCAUACAACAUAUCAAUGAUGAUGAGGCUAGGAAUCGUUUCCUCCUAGAACUCAAAAAUUUGAUCCUCAAUACAGACAAACCAAAGUCUCGUCCUAUUGUUGAACCUUUCAGCAUGAAACAAAUCAUGAAUCGUUCAGAAAAUCAUUCUGAACCAACCAUUGCGGAUCUUCGUCAUGAAGUUUCUCUUCUCAAAAAUGAAAUUCAAGAAAUCAAAUCCCGUCUUUCCAUGAUAGAAACUGACACUCCUAUCCGUCAGAUUUCUAAAAAACCAGCUUUCUUAGAUUAUGAAUCUAGGCACAGCUCCUCAAAAAACAAUUCGGAUAAUGAGGAUGAUAUCAAUCAACCUGACAUCAAUAAUACUGACAUCAACAAUAACCAUCUGGUUGAACCAGAAGUUUUUACACAAACCAAUAACAAUGCUUCCACUUCUGCAACACCAGGUUUAACAGUAAUUUCCUCUAUCAGACCUCAGAGCCAUCAUAUCCCUAUCAAAAUAGUGAUUAACAAACAUUUUGUUAUUAACAAAGUUGCUUUGCUUGAUAGCGGUGCUGAUAGAAACUGCAUCAUGAAAGGUAUUGUUCCUCUUCAGUAUUUACAAAAAAGUACUUCAAAAUUAUACUCCGCUACAGGAGAACUUUUGAAAAUAAACUAUAAGCUUUCUAAAGCCCAUAUUUGCAACAAUGACAUUUGUUUAACAAAUGAUUUCGUUAUUACUGAAGAUAUUAAUGAAGAUAUCAUCCUAGGAAUACCAUUUAUUACCCUAAUAAAACCUUAUUUUACUUCACUGGAUGGCAUCUCCACUAAUAUAUUAGGAAAAGAUCUCCUUUUCCCUUUUGUAAAAACUCUUUCUCAAGAAGAAAGUGAUUUUGUCAGAGAAAAAACUGUUUUCAAAAUAAACAAACUUUCUCAACAUCUCACCUUUUUAAAGGAUGAAAUCCGUAUUAAGAAAAUUGAGCAAAUUCUAAAAACCCCGGAGAUUGUUAACCAAAUAGCAAAUCUUCAAGAGAAAUUUGAAAAAGAAAUUUGUUCCGAUUUUCCUAAUGCUUUUUGGAAUAGAAAAAAGCAUAUUGUUUCCUUACCAUACAUUGAAGGAUUCAAUGAAAGGGCUAUUACCACUAAAGCAAGACCCAUUCAGAUGAAUCAUGAAAUGAUGGAAUAUUGCAAAGAAGAGAUUAAUACUCUUUUAAAAAAUGGCAUCAUCAGAGUUUCAAAAUCCCCUUGGAGUUGCUCUGCCUUCUACGUUAAUAAAAACUCUGAGAAAGAAAGAGGUGCUCCUAGACUUGUAAUUAAUUACAAGCCUCUCAACUCCGUUUUAAAAUGGAUUAGGUAUCCUAUACCUAACAAAAGAGACCUUUUGAAAAGGAUUUUUAAUGCAAAAUUUUUUAGCAAAUUUGAUAUGAAAUCGGGAUUUUGGCAAAUACAGAUUUCUGAAAAAGAUAAGUACAAAACUGCUUUUAAUGUUCCAUUUGGCCAAUUUGAAUGGAAUGUAAUGCCUUUUGGGCUCAAAAACGCCCCUUCUGAAUUUCAAAACAUCAUGAAUUCCAUUUUCAAUGAUUAUUCUUACAUGUCAAUUGUUUAUAUUGAUGAUGUGUUAAUAUUUUCUGAAAACAUUGAUUCUCAUUUUAAACACCUCAACACAUUCUUCAAUAUAGUCAAAAACAAUGACUUAGUAGUUAGUGCUAAGAAAAUGAUUUUGUUUCAAACAAAGAUUAGGUUCUUGGGCCAUGAUCUUUUUCAAGGAACUUUUAAACCCAUCUGCAGAGCCCUAGAGUUCUCUUCUAAAUUUCCCAAUGAAAUUAUUGAAAAAACCCAGCUCCAGAGAUUUCUAGGAAGUUUGAAUUAUGUUGCCGAUUUUAUUCCAAAAAUCAAACACAUCUGCGAGCCUCUAUACAAGAGACUUAAGAAAGUCCCUGUUCCAUGGAGUUCUGAACAAACCCAAGCGGUUAUUCGAGUUAAAGAGUUAGUUCAAACAAUUCCUUGUUUAGGGAUCCCCAAUCCUCAUGCUUCCAUGAUUGUUGAAACUGAUGCCUCUGACCUUGGUUAUGGAGGUAUUCUAAAACAAAUGGUAGAUCCUGAAUCUACAGAACAGUUGGUCCGAUUUACUUCGGGAAUCUGAAAUUCUUCUCAAAAGAAUUAUUCUACUGUUAAAAAAGAAGUCUUGUAUAUUGUUCUUUGUAUAACAAAAUUUCAGGAUGAUCUUAUCAACAAAAAGUUUUUACUAAGAGUAGAUUGCAAGUCUGCUAAAGAAAUUCUUCAAAAAGAUGUUAAAAACAUUGUUUCAAAACAAAUCUUUGCUAGGUGGCAAGCUCUACUAUCUAGCUUUGAUUUUGAUAUUGAUUUCAUCAAAGGAGAAAAUAAGUCCUUUCCAGAUAUUUUAACCCGUGAAUUUUUGCAGGGAAAACAUGAGGCCAUUUAAGCCAGCAGCUAAGGGAGACAAGGAUCUUCCAAAACAAAAAAUGGCUAGACCAUUCCAGCUCCCUCCACUUACACCAUCCAAAGCAGAAUCUUCAUCCACAAGACCUGCUUUAAAUUCCAAAAACUUUUUCACAGUCCUAGCAGAUUAUCCAAAUUUACCAAACUCUUCUCAACAAAAGCCCCAGAGGCCAAACUACCCCCCCUACCUCAAAGUCUAAAUUUGAGACCAACUGUUGCUCUUGAAGCUUCAUCCUCCCGCCAAACAAAAGCAGCUUACACGAUGAAAGCCCCUGAGACUUUUGCCCAAGCAGUCAAUCCAGAAUUGACUAAAACAAUUUCCUCAAAACUAAAUCAAAAAGAAGAAUUUUUUGACUUUCAGGUGUCACAAAUACUACCUUUGAUGGCACUCAGUAAAGAAGUAUCUAACAUGGAUGUUGAUUUAUUAAUAAAACCUUGUUACACUGAUUUUAAUUAUGUGGAUACAGAUAAUCCACUAAAAACCAGGAGAUACUUUGAAGCCAUACUAGUGGAUACAGAAUCCGUCGACAUCGAGCAUUGCAAAGAUGCAGAUAAUCAAAUCAUGUAUUCCAGGAUUACAAUCAAGAGAAUACUAGAACCAACAGAAUGGUUUACAGAUCAUCUUCACACUCCAAUUGCUUUGACAAUGACACACCGCCCACAGACUUAUAAUUGGUAUGAUUAUAAGGCCGCAUGGAUGAACUUCCUCUAUGUCAGACCAAGGCACACUUGGCUUAUUAAAUACAGCACACCACUAACAAAGGCCAUCAUCCCACGAUGAUUUUAUGAAUGGUGGAAUUUAUUUGGAGGCACCAAGGAAAUUCUUCUCCUUUAAUUCCGCAUUACUUAUGAUCCUUUAUGGUAUCAGAGCCAUGUUGGCAGUAUUCAUAUUUGGUAUGAGCAGCUAAAUAUAAAUACUGUCUAAGGCAUUACAAAAUUAAUUUAUGAAGUAAUUUAUAAUUCUAUUUGUUAUGUUUUUAAGUAUUUGCUUAAUAUUUUAUACUUCUUAUUCUUUUAUAUUAAUUCUAUACUUGGUGUGAGGCGUAUCGUUCUUCUGAUAUGAGUAUGAGGUAUCCGAUUAAUAUCCGGAGCAUGCGUUGGUCAGCCUGAACUUGGAACACUCGCUAUAGCCAGGAGGGCGUCAAAGAGUUAGUACUAUUGGUGGUCCCGUAACUAAGAUGACUCUAUCAGAAUGAACUUGAUUGUCAGACCAAGAGCACCUAUCAUAGAAUAAUUUAUAAAAGAUUUUGAAUUAUAUUUUAUUAAUAUUACUUAAACUCCAACAUAUUUGACUUAUGUUUACUUGAUAUCUUAAAUUUUGUCUUGUAAGUCCUUUAGACCGUUCUUCUUCAUUUAUGGAUAAAAAUCAAAAUAUUUUAAAUAAAAUUAAUAUAUCUUCGCAAUCAACAAAGAUUGCUAAAAUUGAAAAUGAUUUACAAAACUGGAGUAUUCCAGAAGAACCUUUCAAAAAGAUUUAUCAAUUAGGUAAUUUCAGUUUCCUCACUCGUUGCAAUAUUAAAACUUGUGAAUCUACUAUUGCCAUUAACAAUUCUUCUGAAAUUGUUCGUCUUCUCAAAGACAAAGAUCUAGAUAGGUACAAAUCUAGCUUCAACUAUUUACAUAUUGGUUUAGUUCAAGUUGCUGUAAAACCUCUGUUCAGAAGAGGUCUUGAUAUUCCUGUCUACGUUCUCCUCAGAGAUGACAGAUUUCUUAAUUUUGACGAUUCCCUUCUUGGAUUACUUCAAAGUAAUCUCACUGAUGGACCAGUUUACUUCAACUGUUAUCCUAAUUUCUCGGUUGACAUUAAUGAUCCUAAUGUCACAGACACUCUGACUCUCAAUGUCAAAACCAAAAAUCUUAAUAGCAAAACUGAUUCUAGAGAAAUUGUUGUAGUCUAUAGGGUCUAUUAUAGACUUAUGAAAACUCAACUUGCUCCAAAAGCGUGUCUUGAAAGCAUCAGAGGAGAAACCAUGCUCAUGGAAGCUAACCACUCACAUAGUUCCAUUUUUGUUCCUAGAACCUUACAAUGGAAGGAUAUUCUCUCAAAUAACGAAUGGCAUUUUGAGAACAUUACGCAACCUUUUACUUCUCAUCCCCCACGAUCCCAAAUAGAAAAGGUUAUUCAGUUUCCCGAUGGAUCUAUUGAUCUAAAAUUUCUUGAGAAUCCAUCAAUGAGAUCUUCAUCUGCUCGACGAUCGUCUUGGUCACCCUCCUCUUCGUGCCCUUCUAAGACGACUCACCAACCAUCUUCUUCUAAAACUUUCGAGGACGAGGAAGACAACAUUACUAUUGCAAACAGUGAUAUAGACAAUAGUAAAGGUAAGGUAACAGGGGUUGAUUUCAGAGGUAAUGUACCUAAAGUUUAUUACCAAGACAUUUCAGGGAGUCCUACAGCAAGCGAGAUGGAACCGCCUACUGAUAAGCCUGCUUGGUUGGGAAUGUUAAAGGUAAACAAACCCUUUGAACCUAAUCCAACUAUUCUACAAGAACAAUGGAUUCACCCUGACAAUCAAGUCAGAAGAAAAUGGUAUGUUUCCUCUUAUACUCUUAAGCAAAGAGAAAAUUUCAGGGAAAUUUGGAUGAAAGAUAUGAGAAGAAUAGGUUGUGAAAUCGAAUUCUUCAAGUGGUUUAAAAUGACUGGUAGAAUUGAAAAUUGUACUGAGUCUUUACAAGUUAUCAUUAAUAAAUGGUAUACAUCUUCUAACAAAGUAGUAGAAUCUACCACUCCUCCUCUUGAAGGAAUCAAUAUUCCUAUUGCAGGUACAGUGAUAAAAGCCUCUCCCUUCAAAGAGAAGAGUGAUAAGACAGGCGCAUUACUCGUUGCUGCAGAUAUUGAUAGAGUUAUUGAACAAAACAACUAUACAAACCAACUUUUCCAUGUGGUCUCUAGACAAAUAGAAGAUACAAGACCAUAUCUUAGUGGAAGACCAACACCGGCUUCUACUUCAUCCAAUCAUGAAAUUGAAACCUACCCAGGAUUUAAAAUACCUGAAUUUUCCAAAGAAAAAUUCCCAAAACUUUCUGAUACAUUUGAAGUUACAGGAAGUAUCAUCGAAAAAAUCAACACUCAACUAAAAACUCUCUCUCUCUGCUUAUCGAUAUUUGUCGCUAGUUUUAGGGUCGAACCUUCAAAAUCCCCGAGUAGCACUAUUAUGUUUUAUCUGCCAAGCCUAAAAUUGAUCGACUUUAAAAGACUUAAAAAAUAAAUUAAAUAAAUUUCGCAAGUUAAAUAGUUCACUUAAAAGAUAGGCUAGUAUUUCACUUUCAAACGAAGACUAAGUAAUUUUUCAAUUCAAAUUAAAGGUAGAGAAUUUUUAGCCAAGUAACUUAGUUUGUCGGAUAAUCACGAGUUAGUGAAUAUUUUAGGUGCCCUUAAAGACUUCCUAAAAUAUAAAUAGGAAUCCCCAAACCAUUUUAAAGUUUUCAAUCGAUUUUUCUUUUUAAGUCUUUUGAAAAUAUAGUUUUCUUGAUUUUUCUUUAAACAUUAAGUGGUGACUCUAAAAAAGUCUCAAAAACCAAUAAAAUAAUAUAUUUUUCCAAAAACUUAAUUAAAACACAUCUCAUUCAAGAAGCCUUCAGCGACAUCCUCCAUUCUUUCUUCUCCUCUGGGUAUGAAACCCCCCGCCAUCCACAACCAUAUUAUGUUAUCAGCCUUGACCACUUGAUCUUCUGGGAAAAUACUAAAAUAGAGAAAACACUGCUUGAGCGCCGUUGACAAAUCAUUGUAGCUUAAGGAUAGUAUGUUGCAGAUUUCAAUAGAUUUAUCUUCUUUAAUGUUCUUCCAAAGGUGAUCUUUAACCUUUUGUCAUCCAUUUUGUAUCUUUUUAUGCGAAAGUAGUCCGCUCAAUACAACAAUAACAAGAGGUAAGUCUCUACACUUAUCCACCAUAUCCUUAGCUAGACUUUUCAUUUCUAGAACCAUUGCUCGAACAUCAAGUAGCUUCCUACAAAAGAGAUCCCAACUUUCUUCUUGGAUUAGGAAACAAAGUUUAUGAACAAAACCUCUAUCCUCUGCCCUUUCAACGACAUCCUCUUUGCGCGAGGUGAUAAUGACUCUGCUGCAAUUCUUUCCAUCCGGGAGUGCUCUUUUCAAACUCUCUCAUGCUUCUCUCUGCCAUACAUCAUCAACCACCAUAAGGUUUUCGCGUUCUUUCAAUAAAUCACGAAGGUGAAUUUCUAGAUCCCUUUCUGUCAUCCUUUCCAACAAAUAUAGAGUUUCCUUGGUGCAACCUUGGAUGGAUUUGAUGAUAGUCCUAAGAAGAUCCAUGGUGUUGUAAUCUUGAGAAAUACAUAUCCAAGCGUGUGUAGGGUAGCUAGAGACUAUAUUAGGAAUUUUUAAGAGGUUUCUCGCAAGAGUGGUCUUGCCUAAACCCAUCAUUGAAUAAAUGAAGAGGAAACUUCGACGAGGCUCUUCUUUGAGAAGUUGAGCUAGGAAUGUUUGUACAACAUCCUGAAAGCCAACAAAAAUGUAAUCUUGGUCAUCCACAUUUUCCUGCAUUGUUAUUGAUAUUUUAAUACCAUAAGUAUCUCGUUUGUUAGUGGCAUUAAAUAUCUAGUAAUUUUGUUAUAUCCCGCAACUUAAUUUUCGUUAGUUCCUAAUUCAAAUUACUCAUGUGUGAUAGUAAGUAAAUAGCGAAAAACAAUACAAUCCAGUAAUCUAGUUUCAAUCUGCUCAAAUUUAAUUCAACCUGCCCAUUUUAAGUAGUCGUACAUGACCUUGUACACUAGAAAUGUUCACAAGAAAAUUGACUCAGGUGCCUCUUUUAGUUGAAUACUUGUGAAAGUUGCAUUGUCCCCUCUAAUGGAAUAUUUUCCCUUGCUUCUUGACCUUCAAGCUUUGAUGAGUUAGCGAUGGCUUCUAAUAUAGCCUUUGGUAGCCAAAAUCCAAGUCUUUCAAUCGAGGUUGCACGAUCAAGUACCAAUGGUUCCCGUAAUGUGAUCUGAAUGCCAUCAUAUGUCUUUCAAACCUCGGGAGAACCAUCCUAAGCCAGCAACAACAACAUCGAUGCUCUUGACAUCCCAGCUCAUUCCACGUGCUUUUACUUCUAUCUUUUGCCAUUGUCCCAACUCAGAAACUUGCUCCAUGGAAUGGGAGGCUGAAGAUUUAAACACAAAACGCAAAUAAGGUAUGGGGCCUCUUAACAGAAAGUAACAUGUUGGACUUGGUAUUUACUCAUUGAUUCUACACUUGUAUAGGUUUCUAUCCCGAAUUCGUGUAAUUGCUCUUAUUCUUGUUACAUCUGAGGCAUUUUGAGGAUACAUUGAGAGGUUGUUGCUUGUCAUCCUAGCGGACUCUCUUGUUUCUUACCUUAUGCUUUGUUUUAUUUGAGAUACAAUGACAUUGGAACUUGUUAUUGUCUUUUAAUUUGACACCUAAUACAUUAGCGAUUGUACGCGUAGCAAC